rnacentral:rRNA from 1 species
UAGGGAAUCUUCGGCAAUGGGGGGAACCCUGACCGAGCAACGCCGCGUGAGUGAAGAAGGUUUUCGGAUCGUAAAGCUCUGUUGUUAAGGAAGAACGAGUGUGAGAAUGGAAAGUUCAUACUGUGACGGUACUUAACCAGAAAGGGACGGCUAACUACGUGCCAGCAGCCGCGGUAAUACGUAGGUCCCGAGCGUUGUCCGGAUUUAUUGGGCGUAAAGCGAGCGCAGGCGGUUAGAUAAGUCUGAAGUUGAAGGCAGUGGCUCAACCAUUGUAGGCUUUGGAAACUGUUUAACUUGAGUGCAGAAGGGGAGAGUGGAAUUCCAUGUGUAGCGGUGAAAUGCGUAGAUAUAUGGAGGAACACCGGUGGCGAAAGCGGCUCUCUGGUCUGUAACUGACGCUGAGGCUCGAAAGCGUAGGGAGCGAACAGG